GGCUUCAUAGCUCAGUGGCAGAGCUUUUGCAUGGAAUUAAUCGCAACAUGGGUUCGAAUCUCGUUGAAGCCU